ACAUAAUUGAAGCACUUUGAAUGAAAGGCCCUUGUCUUCCUCUUCCAUUAAUCGCUCCUAUCACUUCUCUUUCCUCCCUUUCCUCUCAUCUCUUUCUCUUCACAAACAACAUCGUUCAAGUCGUUCAAGAUCUUCAUGGACUUGUUCUCGGUUUUCUAUUCCUGUUUCCAUUCAUAGCUUCGUGCAUCUUUCAACAAAAAAAUAAAAAAUGGACUUGUUUUCGGUUUGCUACUCCUGUUUUCAUUCAUAGCUUCGUCCAUCUUUCAACAAAAAAUUAAAAAAAAAGUGGUUGUGCUUCUUAGUUUAUUUGGCGGUAUUUCCUUUUAAUAUUAUCUCUUCAGUCUUCAUCACAGUCAAAAUUUAUAAAAAAUUGAUUUGAAAAAGGGGAAAAAAGGUUAAAAAGGAGGUCUCUCUGUCGAACAACAUUGAAAUCCCUUUAAAAAAAAAAAGGUCCUGUGAUUUAGCGUUUCCCGUGUGAAACGUAAAUUUCUUCAUCAAUCAGCAUUAAAAUCCCUUAACAAAAAGAUUUCUUGGUGUUGUCUUCUCGUGUGAAAGAUUGUUUAUUUGUGUCUUCAAUACUUUGUUCUUCUUUAAAUUCGGAAAAAGGAAAGAAACUCAAGGAAAGCAAAAAAGAAACAGUGAGAUCGUCUAGAAAGAGAUAUUGUGUUCUUUUCUUCUGCUGUGAAGGAUAUUUUCAUUUCUUCAUCACUUGUUUUGCUCCAAAUUCGAAAAAGAUAAGAAAAGUUAAAAAAAAAAGGAAAAAGGAGGUAUCUUUGUCCACCAACAUUGAAAUCUCUUAAAAAAAGAUUUUGUGGUGUUGUCUUCUCAUGUGAAAGACUGGUUUAUUUUUCAUCUUCAAUACUUUGUUCUUCUUUAAGCUGGAAAAAGGGGGGAAAAAAACAGAAAGCGAAAAGAGAUUCUAUGUUCUUGUAUAAGUAACAUUGAAAUCUCUGCAGAACAAGAUGGAGGGCUGCCUUCUUGACCUUGCAAAGGAUCAAGUAACAAAUUUGGUGAAUCUAGUGAAAAAUGAAGUUCAAUAUUUAUGUUGUUUCAACAGUUAUGUUGAAAAUUUUGAUAAAGAAAGGGAAAGGCUAGUUGCAAAGCACAAGGAUAUCAAUAUGAAAAUUGGAAAAGUCAAAGGUGUUUCAAUAGUCACGAACGAAGUGCAACAGUGGGCAAAUGAAGCAAAUAGUCUCAUUGAAGAUAACACUAAAGCAAAGAAGAUGUGCUUUUUUGAUUUAUGUCCUAAUUGUUGGUGGCAAUAUCAAAGAGGCAAGGAAUUGGCACAAAAGUCUCUACAGAUUGAAGACCUUCUCGAAAGAUGCAAUAACGUGAGCAUAGUGGCAGGUCAAGCUGAUGUUUCAAGUAUAAAAUACAAUAUGCCACAAAUCUUCCUUGAUUUUGAGAGUAGAACAUCAAAGUUUCAAGAUCUAAUGAAGGCAUUAGAAGAUGAAAAUUGUAAUAUGGUUGGAUUACAAGGCUUAGGAGGAACAGGAAAAACAUCAAUGGCAUUAAAAGUCAGUGAAAAUCUUGAAGGAUCUCAUUUUGGCAAAGUUAUCUUUCUUGUUGUGUCUAAACCUUCUGAUUUCAAAAACAUUCAAUGUGAAAUUGUGAGACAAUUAGAUUUGAAAUCAAAGGAUGAAAAGGAGGAAGAACUCUUAAAGGGAAUAUAGUCUAAAAUCACUAGUAUGGAAGAAAAGCUACUUAUAAUACUAGAUGAUAUGUGGGAAGAGUUUGAUCUCAAGAAAAAGUUAGGGAUUCCAUCUGUCUCCCAGCAUAAGAAUUGCAGUGUACUGAUAACUACAUGCAACAUAAACGUUUGUCAAAAUAUGAGAUGCCAAAAGAUCAUUCAAUUAGAGAAGCUAAAUGAGGAGGAUGCAUUGAAUCUUUUCCAUCCAAAUGCUAGUAUGAGUAAUUCCAACAUUUCUAAGAAGUUAGUUCGAGAUAUUGUGAAGCAAUGUCGAGGAGUACCAGUUGCAAUUGUAGCAAUUGCAAGAAUGUUAAAAAAGUUGCCUGCUAACAAUUGGAAGGUUGCUUCGAUAACCUUAAAGACUUUUAAGUCAAUGCUUAAAACCGAUGAUGAAAAUUUAAAAGAUGUUGGUAAAUGCUUGAAGUUAAGCUAUGACCACUUGAAAAAAAAGGCCAAAGAACUCUUUUUGAUAUGUUCCAUGUUCCCAGAAGAUGAAGAAAUUCCUAUUCAAGUUUUAACUAAGAUUGGUAUAGGGUUAAGCUCUUUUGGAGAAAAUGACAAGUAUUAUUUAGAAAGAAUACUGGAAGUGCAUGUUGCUAUAGGGGAACUCAUAGGUUCUUCUUUGCUGUUGAGUGGUAAAAGAGAUCUUGUGAAGAUGCAUGAUUUAGUUCGUGAGGUGGCCUUGUGGAUAGGAGACAAUUCAAUCAAUCAUGGAUUCGAAAAAGUCUAUAAAAGAGAACUUGAGAUAUUUGCUUUGGAAGAAUGAUGAUUUUCCUAAUGAAUUUGAUGGAAAAAAAUUGGAGUUCCUAUUAAUCUUUCUAAGUGGUUCAGAGGACUUAGAGGUCUCAGAAACAUUCUUUAAUGAGAUGAGAACGCUCAAAGUUUUCAUUUUAGAUCGUUAUAGUUAUUACCCAAGAAUUCAAGUUCUAUCAUUGGCAAAUUCACUUCAAUCAUUAAAGGAUAUUCGAACACUCAUCUUAAAGAAUUUAGAGUUAAGAGACAUCUCUAUCUUAGGAAACUUGUUGAGUCUUGAGACUCUUUGGUUUUAUGAUUGUUCAAUCAUUAAAUUACCAAUAGAAUUUUUGAAAUUAAAGAAGUUGAGAUCAUUGGAGGUAGAAGAAUGUGAAAUUGAAGAGAAUAAUCCUUUUAAAGUGCUUGAAAAAUGCUCACAAUUAGAAGAGUUAACUUUUGUUGGUAAUGAAUGUGAUGCCAAAGAAGAAGAUGCAAUUUCUCAAAACAGAUCUCUUCUUACACUAGAUAAAUAUUGUAUAUCUUCUGAUAAUCUUUCAGAUUAUUUUGAAAAUCAUGGUUCCAUGUCAAGAUGCUUUCAAAUAGACAAACUAAGUCAUUUAGUCUCAUAUGCAACAUUUAAGAAACUUACGGAAAGAGCCGAACUUCUUAUCUUGGAAGGAGAGGGUGAACAAAGAAUAUGGAAGAAUCUUGUCCCGGAUCUUGUUGCAAUAGAUGAGGGAGGAACAUUGAAUGAUUUGAUUGUUUUUCAUUUGUGCUCAUAUCCUCACAUGGAGUGCCUUGUAAAUGCUAAGAAUCUGUCUAGAUUUUUUGAGAAAUUAGAGAUUGUAGAGUUGAAAGAUUGUGAGAGAUUGAAGAGCAUAUUUUCUAAUGGUAACUUCAACUUAUGUCGUCUCAAGUCCAUAAAAUUGGAAGACUGUCCAACGUUGACAUCAAUUUUUCAGCCAUCCACUACUCAAAGUCUUGAGGAACUAGAAGAAUUAACAAUUAAAGAUUGCAAUAAGCUGGAACACAUCAUAGAUGAUGAAGAUGGUGAUAGUAAUCAAAAGGGUUACAAUGACUUACCGUUGUUCCCAAAAUUCAAAAAUUUUCAAAUUAAAGGGUGCAACAAAUUAAGAGUAAUAUUGCCAAUCCUAUCUCCUGGAGACCUUCCAUCUCUAGAAAAGAUAUGUAUACGUGAGAGUGAGCAAUUGGAAUACAUAUUUGAUAAGUUCCAAGAGGGGGAAGAUCCUAUUCUCCCCUCACUGAAAGAGAUGGAACUUUGUGGAGUACCAAGACAAAGUAGAAUUUUUAGAGAAUAUGAGCAACUCAAGAGUUCAUCAAUGCAAAAGCUAUCAUCUCCACUUUCAAGGCAAAAGUCCAACAAGAUACAUCAAAAUCCUGCCACGUGUGCUCUCUCUUGGGCUCAUGCAUGCUAUUUUCUCAAUAAAUUGAGGCCUGCUAAUGAAGAGACCAAUCUUGCUGUUUCUAAACAUAGACCACUUGACCACACAAACCUAAUGGGAUUACUUGUAUCAAAGAAAUGGAUUGAAACUAUUGCUACCAUUGGGAGACAGCUACUCCAUGUUGGUCAUAUCAAGAAGAUGGAACUUGCAGAUUUCUCUUUAAAUUCAAAAUCAACACUGUUCACUUUAUCCAUGGCUUCAAUGAUAUUGUGCGAAGAAUUGACAAUUAGCUAAUGUGAUAGAUUGAAGCACUUGGUAACCAGUGAUGAAGAUGAUUAUAAAGAUCAAAAGAAGUGUAGUUCCAUUUUUCCAAACUUAAAGAAGCUAGAAAUCAGGGAGUGUAAUGACAUAGAAUUUUUAUUUCCAUCCAUAAUAUCAUUAGAAAUUAAAUAUUUAAGGUCUUGGACGAUCAGAGAUGCUCCCAAACUAACACAUGUUGUUGGAAAAUACCAUCAUGAGGAUCUUUCAGCGAAUCAAAAUCAACAAAAUAAGCUGCACUUUGAUCUCCCUGCUCUGGAGUUCCUUUACUUUGAAGGUGUACCAAAUAUGAUAAGCAUUUGUGUCAAGAAUUAUUAUUUCUUGGUACCACCAUCUCUUCAUACUGUUUCUUUGGACAAUUGUGGCAUUAUAUCUUUUAUUGAUUUGAUCCUUUGGUCGAGUGGAGAACGCUUGAAUUGGGAAAUCACAAAGGAGGAAACAAAUGCAUCCAGAGAUGGAGUCACCAACUUACAAGCAGUCCAAGGCCCAUUGACUCAAUCAUUGAAAAAUAUCAAGGAUAUGAAACUCCAAAACUGUUCAAGGCUUGUAUCAUUGUUCACUCUACCGAUUGCUUCAACGAUUUUGUUAGAAAAUUUGACAAUCCGAAGUUGUCAUCAACUAAAGUACAUUGUAGAAGAUGAAGACAAUGCUCAAGUUUCCACGAAUUGCUGCUCCAUUUUUCCAACUUUAAAGAAUCUAGAAAUUGAUGAUUGCAAAGGGUUGGGAUUUUUAUCUCCUUCCUCAUUAUCAUUAUCUGUGCAACUUAAGAGUCUCAAGUCUUUGACUGUCAAGGGUGCUUCUGAGCUAAAAUGUGCCAUUGGGAAAUACGAGCAUGAGGAUCAUUUAUCCAGUCAAAAUCAACAUCAUGAAAUGCACUUUGAUUUCCCAGCUUUAGAGUUCCUUUGCUUUCAAGAUGUCCCAAAUAUGGGACAAGAUUUAUCCACAAAUGCAGUUCAUCGAGCUUUUCAAGCUACUCAAAGCCUCACUACGCAGUUAUUGAUCAACAUCAAGAAGAUGAAACUCGUGAAUUGUGCCAACUUAAUAUCAUUGUUUUCUCUACAUGAUGCCUCAAUCCUUUUCUUGGAAGAACUGACAAUCGAAAGAUGUGAUCAACUAAAAUGCAUUGUAGCAUAUGACGGAGGCUCUACAGCUCAUAUGAAUCACAAAUCCAUCUUUCCAAAGUUGAAACGUCUAGAAAUUUUAUUUUGCAAUGCAAUGGAAUAUGUGUUGGGAAGUAGCUCUCAUGAUGACCAUUUAUCUCAUCAGAAUCAAAAUAUCAAAACUUGCGUUGAUUUUCCUGCUCUGGAAGAACUAUGGAUAUAUGAUGUGCCAAAACUUGUCAGCUUGUGUCCUGAAAACUUUUGUUUGAGAGGGUUAUCUCUGGAGGCCAUUUACUUGAAUUUUGAGUGGUCUUCUAUGUUUAGCAUCAUAUCUUUUAAUGAUUUUAUGGUUUGUGAUCAUGCAACACAAGACUCCACAACCACAAAGGCAACUAAAAUGCACUUGCAAGCUUUGAAAUGGCUUCAAAUAAAAAAUUUCAAAAUAGAAGAGAUUUUCAACUUAAAAAAUUUGGACGCAAAGAAAAAUGAGAAAAGACUUGAACCAUUAACAUCAAAUUUACGAAGAUUGGAGCUGAUAGAUCUAUGGGAGUUGAGGAAUAUAUGUUCGGGCCCCAAAUGCAUUCUCAGCCUCAACAAUCUCUCUCUGUUGGUAAUCAAAGGAUGCAAGAAGCUUGAAGUUGUCUUCUCUACCUCUACAUUGAGAAGCCUGCCGCAGUUGUUGUGGCUACAUAUAUCAGAAUGUGAAGAAUUAGUUGAGAUCAUUGAAGAGGAUAAUGAGGAAAGUGCUGGAGAUCAUUUGCCUCAUCAACCAUGCUUCCCAAUGUUAAAAUAUUUAAGUGUUGAGGGCUGUCACGAGCUGAAGUAUUUGUUCUCUGUCACAGUGUCUGGUAUCUUUCCACAACUAUGGCAGUUAGAUGUAAUAGAUGCCUCCUCCCUCGAGCAUGUGCUGAUUAGACCAGAUGCGUCGAAAGAAAUGGCCAAGAAGGAACUGCUUCCAAAGCUAAGAUGUGUAAAACUGGAAAGAAAUCCAAGCCUCAUGAACAUCUGCCAUGGGAUUGAUUUUCAAACAUUAAAAAAUCGCUCAAGAGUGGAUAACUGUCCGAAAUUUUCUUUUCAUGAAACCAUCGUUACUCAGCAUCAAGAUGGCCUAAAGGAUCUUGAUUCCAAUGUUGAGGCAAAAAUAGAGGAGAAGGUUUCUUCACAUCCAAUACAAAUCAGUCAGGCACGGGAGAUACCAAAGAGAGCCCAAGUUUGAAAAUCCAACAAUCCCAAAUUGGUUCACCAAACUUCACAAGGGAAAUUGUUGAAGAGGAUGUUAUUCCUGAGAUGCCAAAAUUGACAAAUUCACCAUCUGAUUCAAGAGCCAUUGAUGAAUUGGAUGAGUUGGUUAGCAAAGAAAUGCCAAAGGAAAAACUUAUGAUGGAUCCACAACAACCCAGAAAUGGU